AUUGAACGCUGGCGGAAUGCUUUACACAUGCAAGUCGAGCGGCAGCGCGGGGCAACCUGGCGGCGAGCGGCGAACGGGUGAGUAAUACAUCGGAACGUACCCAGUUGUGGGGGAUAGCCCGGCGAAAGCCGGAUUAAUACCGCAUACGACCUGAGGGUGAAAGGGGGGAGUCGCAAGACCUCUCGCAGUUGGAGCGGCCGAUGGCGGAUUAGCUAGUUGGUAGGGUAAAGGCCUACCAAGGCGACGAUCCGUAGCUGGUCUGAGAGGACGACCAGCCACACUGGAACUGAGACACGGUCCAGACUCCUACGGGAGGCAGCAGUGGGGAAGUUUUAGGUACGAAAUGGGGGCGAACCCUCGAUCCAGCCAUUCCGCGUGAGUGAAGAAGGCCUCGGUUGUAAG
rnacentral:rRNA from 1 species